UAAAGCCACUGUCAUUCCCUUAAAGCCCCCUUGUCCUCCUCAGAAAGCCAUUUGGGAAAAGCCAUGUCCUUGAGUUACCAAGAGAGUUCUCUGAGGAAGGAGAAGACCUGAACCGCAGUGGAGAAAAUUCAAGUCUGUGGACUCGGAUAUCCCACCAUGUAUGACCAGGAUUUCUUCGUCAAUGAUUGUACCAAUUGGGAGCCAGGCAUAGACUUCUUCCAAGACUUGUAAGAUUUUCUUUCCAUAUAGCUAGCCCAAGAGAAGUGAUGGAAGAACAGGAGACUCCUUUGGCCUAAAGAAGUAUGCAGACAAAUAAAGAGAAGGAGAGAAAGGAGAGAGAAUGUGAAAGAGAAUGAGAAGUAGAGAGACGUUGCUGAAGAGGGACUGCUUUGCCUUUGAUGGGGACAUCCUGCUACCCUGGGAUGGAAACUAGGUGAUGGUUCUGGGUUGGGGGAAUCUCAAAAGGCAGCAAGA